rnacentral:lncRNA from 1 species
UUUUUUGUUAUGAAGAAUGUUGUAAACAAAUACUUGGUAUAUCAAAAAAAGGAAUAUGACUAAACAAGUCAUUGCAGAAAUAUUGAGGACCAAAUAAAAAUAAUUCAAAAGGUAUAUGGAUUAACGAGAUAUAUACUGUAGAAGCCACUCGAUGGAUUCACAAUAGUAAUUCAUCAAAACGUAAUCAAUAUGUGAAUAUAAUUAUGCAAUUAAAAGCUAUCGGCUACAUAAUAUAUUGAAUAGAUUAUGAAACAAUGAAAAAAGUUAUUAUUAUUGAUAACUAUAUAAGACCACCAUUUAUUAUGCAAUAUCAUUUGACACUACUUAUCCCAAUACUCUAAGUGCACUUUAAAUGGAAUAGGACCACCAUUUAAGCCUAUUAAAAUAUUACACCAACUUAAAGUGCCAAAACCAAUACUAUUUAUAUCAAAACAAUGAGAUGUUUAUCAUUUACACUUAUUGCAAUAUUAUUUAUAACAUAAUGAAAUUAUACAGUAGCAGACGAACUAGAUCCAACCCUCCCACUAACAGUAGAUCUAUACCUUGUAGCCCUCCCAAAUAUAGGAAAUCUAGCUCUCCCACCAAUAAAAAACUCCAAACUUUCUUGUGACACUAGAUCCAACCCUCCUAACCCUAACUCCAGCUCUCCUAGUAGUAGAUAAAGCCCUCCCAGCAACAGAAUCAGCUCUCCUAACAGCAGAUCUAGCCUUUAUUGCACUAGUCUUUCUAGUAGAAGUAGAUUCACCUUUUCUAACAACACCAUAUCUAAGUACCACCCUCCCAAUAUCAAUAAUGCCUCUGCCUACAACCCCCUACUUGCAACAUCCCUAUGAAGUGAAACACUUCCAAUUGUCUAGCACCAGCAUCACUUCUCUCAACAACACCAUCCACCUAUGGAACUUUAGUCUCAAUAGACGUAGAGCCCUAUAAAAUAGCAUCAUGAAUUGGUUAGUAAAUAGUUUUUAUUGCACUGAAGGUCUAGAAAUAUGACAAAACCUAUUGGUGGUAAAAUCUUAUGUUUCAUGAUCAAAUCUUACAAUCCAAAUCGAAAUGACCCUUAAACUCUCCAGAUCUCAUCUUUGGAUCUGAAUCAGUUAGGAAAAUAGGAUCUAAGUCUAUAUUAUGAAUUAUACCAUCCCUUGGAACAUAAGAUCUUACUUGAUUAUGCUGUUGAGAUACUUAACUAAUGUUAUUCUGCAUUCUAUGAUUCAUUUGACUAUAUGGCUUUUCAAAUUAUUUGUUAUUCAUAAAUCUCUUGUAGUAAAUUAAGCAAGUUUUAUGGAGUGAAAUAUAAGAUGCAAAUUUUCAUAUUUGUACAACCAUAUGUUAGAACCUUGCCUCUUUUUUUUUCAAAUAUUCCAACUAAAUGAUAAUUGAAUUGAUAUAUAUUACAUAAAUAUCUUGAAUAUAACCAAACACAAUAUUUGUUCAUAUGGGCUUAUAUUGGUGGCUAGAUGUCUUGUUUGCGUGAUCUUU